UACGUAUGGUGCGAACGUUGUUCGGAAUCACUGGGCAUAAAGAGCACGUAGGCGGUUAAGCAAGUCCAUUGUGAAAUCCCCCGGCUUAACCGGGGAACUGCAGUGGAUACUACUUGACUGGAGUGCAGGAGGGGAGAGUGGAAUUCCAGGUGGAGCGGUGAAAUACGUAGAUAUCAAGAGGAAUACCAGAGGCGAAGGCGGGUAACUGGCCUAACACUGACACUCAGACCCGAAAGCGUGGGGAUCAAACAGG
rnacentral:rRNA from 1 species